rnacentral:sRNA from 1 species
UCGAGUACGCGCCAGCCCCGGGUACGGCGCA